GAAGGAUCAUUACCGAGUGAGGGCCCUCUGGGUCCAACCUCCCACCCGUGUUUAUUUUACCUUGUUGCUUCGGCGGGCCCGCCUUAACUGGCCGCCGGGGGGCUUACGCCCCCGGGCCCGCGCCCGCCGAAGACACCCUCGAACUCUGUCUGAAGAUUGUAGUCUGAGUGAAAAUAUAAAUUAUUUAAAACUUUCAACAACGGAUCUCUUGGUUCCGGCAUCGAUGAAGAACGCAGCGAAAUGCGAUACGUAAUGUGAAUUGCAAAUUCAGUGAAUCAUCGAGUCUUUGAACGCACAUUGCGCCCCCUGGUAUUCCGGGGGGCAUGCCUGUCCGAGCGUCAUUUCUGCCCUCAAGCACGGCUUGUGUGUUGGGCCCCGUCCUCCGAUCCCGGGGGACGGGCCCGAAAGGCAGCGGCGGCACCGCGUCCGGUCCUCGAGCGUAUGGGGCUUUGCCGCCCGCCAGGUAGGGCCGGCCGGCCGAAGCAACA
rnacentral:rRNA from 1 species